GAUGAACGCUGGCGGCGUGCUUAACACAUGCAAGUCGAGCGGACGGACGAGAAGCUUGUUUCUCUCAUGUUAGCGGCGGACGGGAGAGUAACACGUGGAUAACCUCCCUAUAAGACUGGGAUAACUUCGGGACACCGGAGCUAAUACCGGAUAAUAUUAUGAACCGCAUGGUUCAAUAGUGAAAGACGGUCUUGCUGUCACGUCUAGAUGGAUCCGCGCUGCUUUAGCUAGUUGGUAAGGUAACGGCUUUCCAAGGCAACGAGGCAUAGCCGACCUGGGAGGGUGUGAGGCCACAGUGGGAGUGGGACACCGUCCAGACUCCUACGGGAAGCAGCAGUAGGGUAUCUUCCGCAGCAGGCGAGAGGAUUGCGGAGCAACGCGGCGUAAGAUGUGGAGGUCUUCGGGUCGGAAAGCUGUGUUAUUAGGGGAGAACAUAUGUGUAAGUAACUGUGGACAUAUUGACGGUACCUGGUGAGAAAGCCACGGCUAACUACGUG
rnacentral:rRNA from 1 species